rnacentral:rRNA from 1 species
UACAGAGGUCCCGAGCGUUGUUCGGAAUUACUGGGCGUAAAGGGCGCGUAGGCUGUGCUGUAAGUCAGGCGUGAAAGCCCCGGGCUCAACCUGGGAAUUGCGCUUGAUACUGCGGCGCUGGAAGGUGGGAGAGGAUGGCGGAAUUCCCAGUGUAGAGGUGAAAUUCGUAGAUAUUGGGAAGAACACCGGUGGCGAAGGCGGCCAUCUGGCCCAUUUUUGACGCUGAGGCGCGAAAGCGUGGGGAGCAAACAGG